UGGGGAAUUUUGGACAAUGGGCGAAAGCCUGAUCCAGCAAUGCCGCGUGUGUGAAGAAGGCCUUCGGGUUGUAAAGCACUUUUGUCCGGAAAGAAAUCCUUGGCUCUAAUACAGUCGGGGGAUGACGGUACCGGAAGAAUAAGCACCGGCUAACUACGUGCCAGCAGCCGCGGUAAUACGUAGGGUGCAAGCGUUAAUCGGAAUUACUGGGCGUAAAGCGUGCGCAGGCGGUUUGCUAAGACCGAUGUGAAAUCCCCGGGCUCAACCUGGGAACUGCAUUGGUGACUGGCAGGCUAGAGUAUGGCAGAGGGGGGUAGAAUUCCACGUGUAGCAGUGAAAUGCGUAGAGAUGUGGGGGAAUACCGAUGGCGAAGGCAGCCCCCGUGGCAAUACUGACGCUCAUGCACGAAAGCGUGGGGAGCAAACAGGAUUAGAUACCCUGGUAGUCCACGCCCUAAACGAUGUCAACUAGUUGUUGGGGAUUCAUUUCCUUAGUAACGUAGCUAACGCGUGAAGUUGACCGCCUGGGGAGUACGGUCGCAAGAUUAAAACUCAAAGGAAUUGACAGGGGUCAUAGCUGUUUCCU
rnacentral:rRNA from 1 species